rnacentral:rRNA from 1 species
UUUUGACCUCGGAUCAAGUAGGGAUACCCGCUGAACUUAAGCAUAU